UACGUAGGGUGCGAGCGUUGUCCGGAAUUAUUGGGCGUAAAGGGCUCGUAGGCGGUUUGUCGCGUCAGGAGUGAAAACUCGGGGCUUAACCCCGAGCCUGCUUCUGAUACGGGCAGACUAGAGGUAUGCAGGGGAGAACGGAAUUCCUGGUGUAGCGGUGAAAUGCGCAGAUAUCAGGAGGAACACCGGUGGCGAAGGCGGUUCUCUGGGCAUUACCUGACGCUGAGGAGCGAAAGUGUGGGGAGCGAACAGG
rnacentral:rRNA from 2 species